GAUGAACGCUAGCGGCAGGCUAAUACAUGCAAGUCGAGGGGUAACAGGUGUAGCAAUACAUGCUGACGACCGGCGCACGGGUGCGUAACACGUAUGCAACCUACCCUUAACUGGAGGAUAGCCCGAAGAAAUUCGGAUUAAUACUCCAUAGUAUAGUGAAGAGGCAUCUCUUUAUUAUUAAAACUACGGUGGUUAAGGAUGGGCAUGCGUUGCAUUAGCUAGUUGGUGAGGUAAUGGCUCACCAAGGCUACGAUGCAUAGGGGAUCUGAGAGGAUUAUCCCCCACACUGGUACUGAGACACGGACCAGACUCCUACGGGAGGCAGCAGUAAGGAAUAUUGGACAAUGGUGGAAACACUGAUCCAGCCAUGCCGCGUGAAGGAUGAAGGCGCUAUGCGUCGUAAACUUCUUUUGAACGGGAGAAACCCCAGAUACGUGUAUCUGGCUGAUAGUACCGUUAGAAUAAGGGUCGGCUAACUUCGUGCCAGCAGCCGCGGUAAUACGAAGGACCCGAGCGUUAUCCGGAUUCAUUGGGUUUAAAGGGUGCGUAGGCGGAAUGAUAAGUCAGUGGUGAAAUCCUGCAGCUCAACUGCAGAACUGCCAUUGAUACUGUCG
rnacentral:rRNA from 1 species